rnacentral:rRNA from 1 species
AGUGAACGCUGGCGGCGUGCCUAACACAUGCAAGUCGAGCGAACAGACGAUGAGCUUUCUCCCCUACCGUUAGCGGCGGACGGGCGGGUAACACGUGCAUCGCCUUCUUCUUUUACUGGGAUAACAUCGGGAAACCGCUGACGCUAAUAGCUCAUACAUUCUACGGCAUGAUUCAGUAGAUCUUGGCAGCUUUGCCGACUCUUAUAGACGGUUCCGCGCCGCAUUAGCUAGUUGGUAAGGUAACGGCUUACCAAGGCUACGAUGCGUAGCCGACCUGAGAGGGUGAUCAGCCACACUGGAACUGAGACACGGUCCAGACUCCUACGGGAGGCAGCAGUAGGGAAUCUUGGGCAAUGGGCGAAAGCCUGACGGAGCAACGCCGCGUGAGUGAAGAAGGUCUUCGGAUCGUAAAGCUCUGUUAUUAGGGAAGAACAGAUGUGUAAUUAACUAUGCACGUCUUGACGGUACCUAAUCAGAAAGCCACGGCUAACUACGUG